AUUGAACGCUGGCGGCAGGCUUAACACAUGCAAGUCGAGCGGAGAUGAGGUGCUUGCACCUUAUCUUAGCGGCGGACGGGUGAGUAAUGCUUAGGAAUCUGCCUAUUAGUGGGGGACAACAUUCCGAAAGGAAUGCUAAUACCGCAUACGUCCUACGGGAGAAAGCAGGGGAUCUUCGGACCUUGCGCUAAUAGAUGAGCCUAAGUCGGAUUAGCUAGUUGGUGGGGUAAAGGCCUACCAAGGCGACGAUCUGUAGCGGGUCUGAGAGGAUGAUCCGGCACACUGGGACUGAGACACGGCCCAGACUCCGACGGGAGGCAGCAGUGGGGAAUAUUGGACAAUGGGGGAAACCCUGAUCCAGCCAUGCCGCGUGUGUGAAGAAGGCCUUAUGGUUGUAAAGCACUUUAAGCGAGGAGGAGGCUACUGAGACUAAUACUCUUGGAUAGUGGACGUUACUCGCAGAAUAAGCACCGGCUAACUCUGUGCCAGCCGCCGCGGUAACAC
rnacentral:rRNA from 1 species